AAUCAACGCUGGCGGCGUGCCUCAGACAUGCAAGUCGAACGCGAAAGUCCCCUUCGGGGGACAAGUAGAGUGGCGCACGGGUGAGUAACACGUAGGUAAUCUACCUUCGGAUGGGGAAUAACAACCGGAAACGGUUGCUAAUACCGCAUAAUGCAGCGGCACCUAAUGGUGACAGUUGUUAAAGCGGGGGGAUUGAAAGACCUCGCGUCUGAAGAGGAGCCUGCGGCGGAUUAGCUGUUGGUAGGGUAACGGCCUACCAAGGCGACGACCCGUAGCCGGCCUGAGAGGGCGGUCGGCCACACUGACACUGACAUACGGGUCAGACUCCUACGGGGAGGCAGCAGUCGGGUAAUUUUGGGCAAUGGGCGAAAGCCUGACCCAGCAACGCCGCGUGAAGGAUAGAAAU
rnacentral:rRNA from 1 species